AGGUGUUUAACUCAGUUGGUAGAGAGUCGUAUUUACACUGCGAAGAGGAAAGUUCAAAUCUUUCAACACUU
rnacentral:tRNA from 1 species